rnacentral:rRNA from 1 species
GUAGGUGGCAAGCGUUGUCCGGAAUUAUUGGGCGUAAAGCGCGCGCAGGCGGUUCUUUAAGUCUGAUGUGAAAGCCCACGGCUCAACCGUGGAGGGUCAUUGGAAACUGGAGAACUUGAGUACAGAAGAGGAAAGCGGAAUUCCACGUGUAGCGGUGAAAUGCGUAGAGAUGUGGAGGAACACCAGUGGCGAAGGCGGCUUUCUGGUCUGUAACUGACGCUGAGGCGCGAAAGCGUGGGGAGCAAACAGGGAUUAGAUACCCUGAUAGUCCACGCCGUAAACGAUGAGUGCUAAGUGUUAGGGGGUUUCCGCCCCCCUUAGUGCUGCAGCUAACGCAUUAAGCACUCCGCCUGGGAGUACGGCCGCAAGGCUG